UACAGCAUGACCCAAAUGUGCUUUGACACUAAUAAGACUCUCUAUCCCUUCUCUAUCUUAACAAAAGCCUGUCUUACUACCCUAGCUUGGAGACUCCCAGGAAGGAGUAGAGAUAAGUGUUCCUCCCAUCUCAGCAAAGGAGGGAAGAAGAAAAUGAAAGCAACCUAUUUCUGGAAGCAUUGAACAAGGACUCUAAAUAUAGUCAGCAUCACUUUGGGUGCUGAAGGAACUCAAAGAGAGAUAUGGCUGUCACCAUGGCACUUAUUCUCAGGUGGAGAAAUCGAGUCAUGGAAAUGACUUGCCGAGACAUUCUCAACACUUCAGUGACUCAAAAAGCCACCAAGUUGCAGAUGCCACCCUGAUGCCAACUUGACUUCCCUGAGCAGAGGACUUCACCACCUCCCCAGAGCCCUAUUCCACCAGGGAAACAUAGAAACAGGUUGGAGGUAUGGAUCAGCCUGUCAACGCCCAUGUACAGCAGAGAAGCAAUUACAUAGAAGCCAGGCCUUCCACCUCCUGCACCCCAUAAAGAUCUUUGGUCCAUACUCCCAGAGGGAUAAAGAUUAGGGAACCUCCCAAUGUAGGGAAGAGGAUAUGGAAAUCUGGUGGUGGGAAUUGUAUAGAAUUGUACUUCUCUUAUACCACAAUCUUGUGAUAAUUAUUAAAUCACUUAAAAAAAAGAAAAUAUAUCCUGUCUCCUCACUAGAAUCAAAGAAGCACAAAGAUGAUAAUGAGAUAUUAUCAUUUGCAAUUCAAAACAGCCAAGAUUACAAAGAAUGCACAGGUUAAAAGGCAGAGACAAUAGCCACCUGCCAGAGUAUAAAUAUGGAGAGACUAGCUCUUUGAUGACUUGCCAGUGAGCCUGUACUUGGAACAGUCCUGCAAGACAGAUUAACUAAUUGUCGAAAGCAAGGGAAUCAGAGCAAGGACUCGCUCGGAGAGUGUGUUGGGGUUAAGCAAUAAUUUUUUUUUUUUUUUUUUUACUUAUUUUAGAUGCCAGAGAAAGGUCACACAACUCACACAACACAUAGUCAACCCGAUACCUUCUCCUUACUUAAUAGCUGUUUUCAGGUAAGGCUCAUGACUUAGUCACCACCCACCGUGUUGCCCGGAAGGAGGUACUUUGUCUGCUGGCAUGACUAGAUGUGUGAGGGCCCCUGGAGGCUGGGGAAGCGGUUACUUAGCCUAGCCGCGUGUGCUUUUAAGUUUUUUGCAUCAUUGGCAGCAUCCUGGUCAGUAACGCUGGAAGUGCUUCAUCCAGAUGGUUUCUGAGCCUUUACUUAUACUUAACUUGGCUCUGGUUUUAAGGUUACAUUUCCAUUGGCCACAGGUUCGGGCUUACGUCUUAUCCUAUGCAUAUAUGUCUCUGUCUUUAUCACACUAUGCAGGCGCACUAUGGUUCCUAUAGUUACUAGAGUUACAUAUUCACUACACUGUUACUUUUCUAUUUUCUUUUAACUUAUUAUUAUUAUUUAUUUUCUCUUUUGUUGACCAUGGUGUUUUGUAUUUUUGUAGUUAUUAUUAUUGUUGUUGAUGUCGUUCGUUGGUGGAUAGGACAGAGAGAAAUUAAGAGAGGAAUGGAAGACGGAGAAGGGGAGAGAAAGAUAGACACCUGCAGACCUGCUUCACCACCUGUGAAGCAACUCCCUUGCAGGUGGGGAGCCGGGGCUCGAACCGGGAUCCUUCAGCCGGUCCUUGCGAUUUAUGCCAUGUGCACGCUUAACCCGCUGCGCUACCGCCCAACUCCGCUAAUGUUACUUUUCAAGUCAUGUUCCACCAGCUGAGCAAAGUUUCAUAAAGAACUGACUUGAGAGCCUAGCUCUUACUCAAAUGAAAUGAGGGAGAAGAAUGAGUGAGUGGGGAAGUGGCAGAAGUUGAAAAGCAAGAUGAGAAAACACUAAACAGACUUGGAAUGAAGUUGUUGUAUUGCACAAAA